AAGUCGUAACAAGGUUUCCGUAGGUGAACCUGCGGAAGGAUCAUUAUAGUAUAUGGAAUACAUUUCUAUAAACCCACUCUGCGUAUCUUGUAACUGUUGCUUCCAUGGGACUUGGACCUAUGUCCACACCGGCUUUACCGCUGGUGAGCGCCCAUGGGAGGAGAAACAAAACUCUUCUUUGAACUGUAGUCAGUCUGAACAUGUUUUUAUAAACGUUAAAACUUUCAACAACGGAUCUCUUGGUUCUCGCAUCGAUGAAGAACGCAGCGAAAUGCGAUAAGUAGUGUGAAUUGCAGAAUUCAGUGAAUCAUCGAAUCUUUGAACGCACAUUGCGCCUUCUGGUAUUCCGGGAGGCAUGCCUGUUCGAGCGUCAUCAAAAACCUCAAUCUCUGAUUUAUCAUUGGUUGGUCUUGCACCGGAGGCGUAAGCUUCCUCUGCGAAAUUCAAUGGCGAAGAGCCACGCAACCAAAGCGUAGUAAUUUAUUCUCGUGAUGGAAACGUGAGCGCUUCUGCCGCAACCCCCCCAUUCUUAGUUUUUGACCUCGGAUCAGGUAGGGAUACCCGCUGAACUUAAGCAUAUCAAUAAGCGGAGGAAAAGAAACCAACAGGGAUUGCCUUAGUAACUGCGAGUGAAGCGGCAAAAGCUCAAAUUUGAAAUCUGGCGUCUUCGGCGUCCGAGUUGUAAUUUGGAGAGGCAUCUUCGGAAUGGUCACCGGUCCAAGUUCCUUGGAACAGGACGUCACAGAGGGUGAGAAUCCCGUGUCUGGCUGGUUGUACCAAUCCAUGUGAAGUGUCUUCGACGAGUCGAGUUGUUUGGGAAUGCAGCUCAAAAUGGGAGGUAAAUUUCUUCUAAAGCUAAAUAUUGGCGAGAGACCGAUAGCGCACAAGUAGAGUGAUCGAAAGAUGAAAAGCACUUUGAAAAGAGAGUUAAAAAGUACGUGAAAUUGUUGAAAGGGAAGCGCUUGAGACCAGACUCAAUUUGCGGCAAUCAGCAGUCCUUUUGGGCUGUGCACUUGCUGCUUUUUGGGCCAGCAUCGGUUUUGACCGCGUGAUAAAGACCUUGGGAAUGUGGCUCCUCUCGGGGAGUGUUAUAGCCCUUGGUGCAAUGACGCGUGUUGGGACCGAGGACCGCGCUUCGGCUAGGAUGCUGGCAUAAUGGUCUUCAGCGACC
rnacentral:rRNA from 1 species